rnacentral:rRNA from 1 species
UACGUAGGGGGCAAGCGUUGUCCGGAAUCAUUGGGCGUAAAGCGCACGUAGGCGGCCUCGCAAGUUGGAUGUGAAAUCCCUCGGCUCAACCGAGGACGUGCAUCCAAAACUGCGGGGCUUGAGUACUGAAGAGGAUCGCGGAAUUCCCGGUGUAGAGGUGAAAUUCGUAGAUAUCGGGAGGAACACCAGUGGCGAAGGCGGCGAUCUGGGCAGAUACUGACGCUGAGGUGCGAAAGCGUGGGGAGCAAACAGG